CCUGGGAAAGUUUGGAGAGGAGAGGUGGCUGAGGGCUGGACCAGAUCUGAGCCCUGUACAUUAAAAUCCCAGGUGGGCUGAACUUCUGGAAAAGGAAGAAGAAAAAACCUACAGACAAUGUGGAUCUGCAGAGACAGUGAUGGAGCAUGUGAUUGGAGAGAAGCAGGGCAGCACCCCAGGAGCCCCAGCGAGACAUGGGGAGGACACUUUAGCUCUCUGGAAGCCCCGCCCACUUUCUGCAGCCUCAGUUGUGAGAUUGCUUUGAAUCUUGAUGGCUAGUUCCCAUUUAUGUAAACUUUUCUUAGUAAAAGGUCAUUUCUAGCAACCAGAUAGUCCCUGAUAAAGACCUCACUGUUAUGACGAUGUCUGUGUCCUAUUAAUUAAGAUCCUGGGAUAUGCAUCCUACUCCAUAAACUUGACUGCAUAAGAAAUGUUACAUUAUUUUAUUUCCUUGAGGUCUAAUUAAAUCUGACCC
rnacentral:lncRNA from 1 species